rnacentral:rRNA from 1 species
GCAUGUGCUGUGAGCUCGAUGAGUAGGGCGGGACACGUGGUAUCCUGUCUGAAUAUGGGGGGACCAUCCUCCAAGGCUAAAUACUCCUGACUGACCGAUAGUGAACCAGUACCGUGAGGGAAAGGCGAAAAGAACCCCGGCGAGGGGAGUGAAAAAGAACCUGAAACCGUGUACGUACAAGCAGUGGGAGCCCCACCACUAAGCCAGUGGUGAACUCCACAUACGCAUCCUUUGCUGAGGAUACGGUUAACGGAGCGAAAGCGACGUUCAACCUCAAAAGAAGCAGAGGGGGCUUAGUGGUGGGGUGACUGCGUACCUUUUGUAUAAUGGGUCAGCGACUUAUAUUCUGUAGCAAGGUUAACCGAAUAGGGGAGCCGGAGGGAAACCGAGUCUUAACCGGGCGUUAAGUUGCAGGGUAUAGACCCGAAACCCGGUGAUCUAGCCAUGGGCAGGUUGAAGGUUGGGUAACACUAACUGGAGGACCGAACCGACUAAUGUUGAAAAAUUAGCGGAUGACCUGUGGCUGGGGGUGAAAGGCCAAUCAAACCGGGAGAUAGCUGGUUCUCCCCGAAAGCUAUUUAGGUAGCGCCUCGUGAAUUCAUCUCCGGGGGUAGAGCACUGUUUCGGCUAGGGGGCCAUCCCGGCUUACCAACCCGAUGCAAACUGCGAAUACCGGAGAAUGUUAUCACGGGAGACACACGGCGGGUGCUAACGUCCGUCGUGAAGAGGGAAACAACCCAGACCGCCAGCUAAGGUCCCAAAGUCAUGGUUAAGUGGGAAACGAUGUGGGAAGGCCCAGACAGCCAGGAUGUUGGCUUAGAAGCAGCCAUCAUUUAAAGAAAGCGUAAUAGCUCACUGGUCGAGUCGGCCUGCGCGGAAGAUGUAACGGGGCUAAACCAUGCACCGAAGCUGCGGCAGCGACGCUUAUGCGUUGUUGGGUAGGGGAGCGUUCUGUAAGCCUGUGAAGGUGGCCUGUGAGGGUUGCUGGAGGUAUCAGAAGUGCGAAUGCUGACAUAAGUAACGAUAAAGCGGGUGAAAAGCCCGCUCGCCGGAAGACCAAGGGUUCCUGUCCAACGUUAAUCGGGGCAGGGUGAGUCGACCCCUAAGGCGAGGCCGAAAGGCGUAGUCGAUGGGAAACGGGUUAAUAUUCCCGUACUUGGUGUUACUGCGAAGGGGGGACGGAGAAGGCUAUGUUGGCCGGGCGACGGUUGUCCCGGUUUAAGCGUGUAGGUGUGUGUUCCAGGUAAAUCCGGUUCACUUUAACACUGAGGCGUGACGACGAGGCACUACGGUGCUGAAGCAACAAAUGCCCUGCUUCCAGGAAAAGCCUCUAAGCAUCAGGUAACAUCAAAUCGUACCCCAAACCGACACAGGUGGUCAGGUAGAGAAUACCAAGGCGCUUGAGAGAACUCGGGUGAAGGAACUAGGCAAAAUGGUGCCGUAACUUCGGGAGAAGGCACGCUGACAUGUAGGUGAAGUGAUUUACUCAUGGAGCUGAAGUCAGUCGAAGAUACCAGCUGGCUGCAACUGUUUAUUAAAAACACAGCACUGUGCAAACACGAAAGUGGACGUAUACGGUGUGACGCCUGCCCGGUGCCGGAAGGUUAAUUGAUGGGGUCAGCGCAAGCGAAGCUCCUGAUCGAAGCCCCGGUAAACGGCGGCCGUAACUAUAACGGUCCUAAGGUAGCGAAAUUCCUUGUCGGGUAAGUUCCGACCUGCACGAAUGGCGUAAUGAUGGCCAGGCUGUCUCCACCCGAGACUCAGUGAAAUUGAACUCGCUGUGAAGAUGCAGUGUACCCGCGGCAAGACGGAAAGACCCCGUGAACCUUUACUAUAGCUUGACACUGAACAUUGAGCCUUGAUGUGUAGGAUAGGUGGGAGGCUUUGAAGUGUGGACGCCAGUCUGCAUGGAGCCGACCUUGAAAUACCACCCUUUAAUGUUUGAUGUUCUAACGUGGACCCGUAAUCCGGGUUGCGGACAGUGUCUGGUGGGUAGUUUGACUGGGGCGGUCUCCUCCUAAAGAGUAACGGAGGAGCACGAAGGUUGGCUAAUCCUGGUCGGACAUCAGGAGGUUAGUGCAAUGGCAUAAGCCAGCUUGACUGCGAGCGUGACGGCGCGAGCAGGUGCGAAAGCAGGUCAUAGUGAUCCGGUGGUUCUGAAUGGAAGGGCCAUCGCUCAACGGAUAAAAGGUACUCCGGGGAUAACAGGCUGAUACCGCCCAAGAGUUCAUAUCGACGGCGGUGUUUGGCACCUCGAUGUCGGCUCAUCACAUCCUGGGGCUGAAGUAGGUCCCAAGGGUAUGGCUGUUCGCCAUUUAAAGUGGUACGCGAGCUGGGUUUAGAACGUCGUGAGACAGUUCGGUCCCUAUCUGCCGUGGGCGCUGGAGAACUGAGGGGGGCUGCUCCUAGUACGAGAGGACCGGAGUGGACGCAUCACUGGUGUUCGGGUUGUCAUGCCAAUGGCACUGCCCGGUAGCUAAAUGCGGAAGAGAUAAGUGCUGAAAGCAUCUAAGCACGAAACUUGCCCCGA